rnacentral:rRNA from 2 species
GGCUUUGCUGUCACUUAUAGAUGGAUCCGCGCCGUAUUAGCUAGUUGGUAAGGUAACGGCUUACCAAGGCAACGAUACGUAGCCGACCUGAGAGGGUGAUCGGCCACACUGGAACUGAGACACGGUCCAGACUCCUACGGGAGGCAGCAGUAGGGAAUCUUCCGCAAUGGGCGAAAGCCUGACGGAGCAACGCCGCGUGAGUGAUGAAGGUCUUCGGAUCGUAAAACUCUGUUAUCAGGGAAGAACAAAUGUGUAAGUAACUGUGCACAUCUUGACGGUACCUGAUCAGAAAGCCACGGCUAACUACG